AGCGAACGCUGGCGGCAGGCUUAACACAUGCAAGUCGAGCGGGCGUAGCAAUACGUCAGCGGCAGACGGGUGAGUAACGCGUGGGAACAUACCUUUUGGUUCGGAACAACUGAGGGAAACUUCAGCUAAUACCGGAUAAGCCCUUACGGGGAAAGAUUUAUCGCCGAAAGAUUGGCCCGCGUCUGAUUAGCUAGUUGGUGAGGUAAUGGCUCACCAAGGCGACGAUCAGUAGCUGGUCUGAGAGGAUGAUCAGCCACAUUGGGACUGAGACACGGCCCAAACUCCUACGGGAGGCAGCAGUGGGGAAUAUUGGACAAUGGGCGCAAGCCUGAUCCAGCCAUGCCGCGUGAGUGAUGAAGGCCCUAGGGUUGUAAAGCUCUUUUGUGCGGGAAGAUAAUGACGGUACCGCAAGAAUAAGCCCCGGCUAACUUCGUG
rnacentral:rRNA from 1 species